rnacentral:rRNA from 1 species
AUGGAGGAGGCAGAGAAGGGGGAGAUCCACGAGAGGAACACCAACUCGAGCCAUUCGGGGGCGACGGAGGAGGCGGCCGGUCUGCUCAUCGACGACCUCAUCCUCGAGAUCCUCUCCCGCCUCCCCGUCAGAUCCCUCCACCGCUUCAAGUGCGUCUCCGUGCCCUGGCGCCACCUCAUCGCCGACCCCGCCAACUGCAAGAAGCUCCCCCAGACCCUCGCUGGCUUCCUCUACUUCACCACCGACGACGGCGGGGAUCACCACCACUUCGCCAGCGUCUCCGGCGGCGCAGCCCCGUUCGACCCUUCCUUCCCUUGCCUGCAGCCUAAUAAGUACAAGGACAUGGCCCAGGUGGACGCCUGCAAUGGCCUCCUUCUCUACCGUGGCAGCAACAAGAAGAUGGCUUAUUGGAACUGGAACUGGGCAGAGGAUGAUUUCCGUUUUGUUGUGUGCAAUCCCGUCACCGGGAGGUGGGUGGAGCUGCCCCCUUCACCACAGACGCCGGAAAACAGAUUUAGCUGUACCGCAGGUCUGGCUUUUGAUCCAGUGGUCUCAUCCCAUUUCUACGUUCUUCAAUUCGAGCAGAUCUUUGAGGGAUCUUACAUCACAUCAGUGAACAUCUACUCGUCGAGGACAGGAGCCUGGACUCGCAGGGAUAGUGGGAUGGUUGAGAAAGUGAUACUCUGCUCCUUUAGUAAGUACGUCUUUGUUUGCGGUAUGAUGUACACGGUUGGCAGCCUCAACGACAAGCAUGAGUAUGUGCUGCUAGCGGUGGACAUGGAGGGGAAAGUGUGGAAGACUAUCCGCGUGCCGAACGGUCCAGGAAUUGGUGCAAUUGGAUUGUCGCAGGGGUGCUUACACUAUUCUGUAGAUUCCAUGGUUCGCAUCGAUGAUAACAAUGAAAGCCUAGUUUCUGAGAUAACACUCUGGUGCCUCAAGGAUCAUGACAGUGAAGAAUUUGUCCUGAAGCAUACCGCCAACACCAAUAAGCUUAUGAGCAUGACUGGGAAGAAGUACAGAGUGGUUGAGAUUCAUCCGCAUUGCGACACCAUUUUCCUUGUUUCAUGUGGAGGUGAUACCUUGGUGGAGUAUGAUAUGCAGCAUCAGAAAGUUGGAUGUAUCCUUAAUCUUGAGAAAGAUAGCAUACAAAAAUUUCUACCCUAUGUUCCUCUGUUCCAAAAAUCCUUAGCAGAGGUUGAUGAGCAGUAA